CCAGACUCCUACGGGAGGCAGCAGUGGGGAAUAUUGCACAAUGGGGGAAACCCUGAUGCAGCGACGCCGCGUGAAGGAAGAAGUAUUUCGGUAUGUAAACUUCUAUCAGCAGGGAAGAAAAUGACGGUACCUGACUAAGAAGCCCCGGCUAACUACGUGCCAGCAGCCGCGGUAAUACGUAGGGGGCAAGCGUUAUCCGGAUUUACUGGGUGUAAAGGGAGCGUAGGCGGUUUAGCAAGUCAGAAGUGAAAGCCCGGGGCUCAACCCCGGGACUGCAUUUGGAACUGUAAGGCUAGAGUGUCGGAGAGGCGGGCGGAAUUCCUAGUGUAGCGGUGAAAUGCGUAGAUAUUAGGAGGAACACCAGUGGCGAAGGCGGCCUGCUGGACGAUGACUGACGUUGAGGCUCGAAAGCGUGGGAGCAAACAGGAUUAGAUACCCCAGUAA
rnacentral:rRNA from 1 species